UUCUGACAGACUAAGGGCUCUCUCCCUGCGCUCUGCGGCGACUACACAAGCCACGUUAAAGCACUGCUGCAGCAACGCUUUAACGUUGCCAGUGAAGACCUGCCCUAAGGGAAACAUAAGAGCAACAAUGUUUAUAUAACAAGGCCUCUGUCAUGUACAACUCAUAGACAGGUGUACAGUCACCUGAUGAGCCUUCAAAAGGAAAACCACCAAAGCAUUUGGAGGAUGUGAACACACAGCUCUGAAAUUCUGCCUGGCUCAUGCAUCCAGUGAAGGAACUUUGGGGAAAGGAAAGAGAGUGCCUACUUAUCUUCCCAUUCAUCUACUGACUACAGAAGUGACAUUCAAGGAAGUAGUUGUGGUCUAGCCUAAGAGAAAAAUGUAAUACUUGCAAAGAGAGAUCAGUAUCCCUAUCAAUAGAUGUAGGAGAUAAAGGAUACAAAUGUAACAAAAAUCAAUACAUUAGUUAUUGGUGAAUAGGAAUGAUUUAAUGCAUCUCAGUUUCUUCAAAACUGACUUCCUGACACCAUCUCUCCUACC